rnacentral:rRNA from 1 species
CCUACGGGAGGCAGCAGUCGAGAAUCAUUCACAAUGGGGGAAACCCUGAUGGUGCGACGCCGCGUGGGGGAAUGAAGGUCUUCGGAUUGUAAACCCCUGUCAUGUGGGAGCAAAUUAAAAAGAUAGUACCACAAGAGGAAGAGCCGGCUAACUCUGUGCCAGCAGCCGCGGGAAUACAGAGGUCUCAAGCGUUGUUCGGAAUCACUGGGCGUAAAGCGUGCGUAGGCUGUUUCGUAAGUCGUGUGUGAAAGGCGCGGGCUCAACCCGCGGACGGCACAUGAUACUGCGAGACUAGAGUAAUGGAGGGGGAACCGGAAUUCUCGGUGUAGCAGUGAAAUGCGUAGAUAUCGAGAGGAACACUCGUGGCGAAGGCGGGUUCCUGGACAUUAACUGACGCUGAGGCACGAAGGCCAGGGGAGCGAAAGGGAUUAGAUACCCGGGUAGUC